AUUGAACGCUGGCGGCAGGCCUAACACAUGCAAGUCGAGCGGAGCGGCGGAAGGGGGAGUAAUGCCUAGGAAGCUGCCUGGUAGUGGGGGAUAACGUCCGGAAACGGGCGCUGAUACCGCAUACUAUCAAAUGAAGCUAGGGCGGUCUAGCUAGUUGGUGGGGUAAAGGCGUACCAAGGGGACGAUUCGUAACUGGUAUGAGAGGAUGAUCAGUCACACUGGAACUGAGACACGUUCCAGACUCCUACGGGAGGCAGCAGUGGGGACUAUUGGACAAUGGGCGAAAGCCUGAUCCAGCAAUGCCGGGUGUGUGAAGAAGGUCCUCGGAGUGUAAAGCACUUUAAGUUGUGAGGCGUUACCAACAGAAUAAGCACCGGCUAACUUCGUGCCAGCAGCCGCGGUAAUUC
rnacentral:rRNA from 1 species